rnacentral:rRNA from 1 species
UACAGAGGUCCCAAGCGUUGUUCGGAUUUACUGGGCGUAAAGGGAGCGUAGGUGGCAUUCUAAGUCUGAUGUGAAAGCUCUGAGCUUAACUCAGAAAUGGCAUUAGAAACUAGUUUGCUUGAGGAUUGGAGGGGAGAUUGGAAUUCUUGGUGUAGCAGUGAAAUGCGUAGAUAUCAAGAGGAACACCAGUGGCGAAGGCGAAUCUCUGGGCAAUUCCUGACACUGAUGCUCGAAAGCUAGGGGAGCAAACGGG